UCUCCUUCUCACGAGCGGAUCCGCCGCUGCCCUCGCCCCAUCGUCGCCCCACCACCGCUAGCCGCUGCGGAUCCGCCGACUCCGCCGCCGUUCCUCUCUAGCCUCCGCCACUGCCGGCCCUCUCCGCCCUCCCUCGGUCUUCUCUGCCCUCCGUCGCCUUGUUCUUCUUCCCCUCCCCAUCCUCUCCUAAUCUUCUCCGACGAGGAAGUUCCACGCGAGAUCCGGCGAGGAAGCGUGAGAUCCCGGAGAAAGCACUCCUCCGACUAGGCCGACCACAAAAUCCGGCGAGGAAGCGCUGGCGACGGCCUCCGUCGGGGAAGCUGCUUCCUUCCACCGGCAAAGAAGAGGCUGGUCAUGCCGUGGAAGAGGAGGCCCUUUCUCGUGAGAUCUAAAGCACUCCCCGACUUCCGUCCCCACGAGAUCCGGAGAGGAAGUGCUGGCCUCCGGCCUCCGGCGGGGAAGCUGCUGCCUUCCAUGGCAAAAAAUACAAUUCCUCACCGACCUCCCAAGUCAAGGCCGCCUUCGCGCUCAACCCCACCUCUGCGUCCUGCAUCCUCGCCUUCCUCUCCCUAAACACAGACCAAGCAUUCCCCUAAACCCAAUCCCGUGGUACUAUUGCAUCUUGGUUUUCUGAAUGCUAUUACAUCAUGAAAAGAAGGAGGACUGAUUAGUGGUUCAAAAUAAUUGGGGGACAUAGAGAUGUGAGAGAUUGAGGGGUUCGGUUGGGGAAUUUUAUAUAGAGAGAUGGAGGGGUUCGGUUGGGGAUUUGUACCAUAUCAUGUGCUGUGUAUUCCAUUCUUUAUUCUUUGCUCUGCUUGGGGCAAUUUUUUUGUACAGGGAGCUAUGGUUUGGAUCAAUUAUAUACUUAUAUGUGAUGUUCUUUCAUGCUUUUGGUGCUCCUGCUGAAGUGAUAUUUUUUAGCUAUUUGUACUGAUUAUUGCUACUGGUGUUGAUUGCAUUUAUUGUUGCUAUCAUAUGCAGAUUGCCGUGAUUGUAUGAGAGAUUAAUACCAUUAUCCCAUGUGUGCUAGCUUUAAACAGAUGGGUGAUGCUUGGUGUAUUCUUUUGUGUCAAUCGGAACAAACAUGGAGGGAGGGUCGGGCUUCAGUUCACUGUGACUCCAUUAACAGAGUUCGACCACUCUGAAAAAGCUCUUGAAAAGAUGGUGAAUGAGAAGCUUCCCAACCUGCCCACUGUAGCAACAAGGUGAAAAGAUCCUCAGCUGAGCAUCUUCGUUGAGCAACGGACACGAGGUAAUGAGAGAAGAAAUUUGGAAGGAAAAAGAUCUAAAACUGGGGCUACAAAAACGUAUUAGCACAACCUGUCAACAGACGCGCUGUCUAGAUGUAUGUUAUUUCUCUCUAAGUUAGUCAACGCUCAUCCACAGGCGUGAGGGGUGUUCAGAGGAAAUAGACUCUCUGGAGCUUUCUUACAGUGAGUACAGGAUCCCCUCUUGCCCAAGGUUAAAUUCCUCAACUAUCUAGCCCCGUGAUGCCAAUGGUUCCCUUCCAGUCUUCUCUUCAAAACCUGUCAGCAACAAGCUCUGUCUAAAUUAUGGUACUUCUCUGAGGAGAUGUCACGGUAUUUUUAAUUUAAAUACCUGUUAUAGGUCCCUUGAGUGCUUAACUGAAAUUUGCUGGUUUACUAGCUCUAUGAAAGGGUCAAAUCACUAGAGACCAAUUAUAGCAUGUAACUACUAUAAUUGUAUACAUAGUUUGUAUUAAGAUUGGUCAUCAAGAUGUUCUGCAUCAAAGGUGUUGGCAGUGCUACAGUUGAAAAAAAUAUAUGAUUUUGUGGUGUUAUUACUGACUGAGAAGUCGCAACCUCCCACAAAAGGCAUGCCAUUUUUUUUCUGUUUGUGCACUAUGUUUUGGGGAGCUAUAACAAAGUUGUUACUAUGGCAGAAAAAGUAGUACACUAAAGCAUGUACCGGAUAUACUGGGAGAAAAUGCCACGUGAUAAAAGAACGACUUCAAAUGAAUGCAUAUGUCCUGAAAUGAACUUUUUAUCAUGUUGUGAUUGAUUACUGGAACUACACUUAAUUUGUUAUCUGUUAGGCAGAAUAUAUGAUAUUCACAGGAUUUUUUUUGAAGUGAUAGGAAGGAGGUAAAUUUCUUUUGUCAAUUGUCAUACAAUAUUCUAACCUCCCGUCUGGCAGUAUCAUCUAUAAUGAUGUUUUCAUUUAGCUUGAUCCUCUGCAUUGCAUAUACUUCCAGUUUUUUAUAUGUAUCCUGUCUAUACUGAUAGUUUCCCUCUAUUGUGUGUAUGCUGAAUUUUAUAAUUGAUCCUAUUUUGUGUCGCAAUUCGGGGACUUAAUGAAGAUAUCCUCCUAUUGCCUACUAUCAACACUAGAAGUAAAAACGAGUAGAAAUGUGAGGGGUGGUGCAAGGAGUAUCCCUUGCAGGGCUGCCCCCAUGUCAAGUUCGAUGAGGUUAGAAUUUUAAAGUUUUAAGCAUUCCAUUGCUCCGGCGUGGCUUUGUGACAUGUGUGUCGUGUGAUGGCCGAGCUGAUCGCCUUGGAUUGACCAAUGUUCACACCCAUUGCGAUUAGAUGGACAUCAUGCCACCGUCAACAAUGAGGAUAAGAAUGAGUAAUAUUUUUAUCCUGCUGCAACGCACGGGCCCUUUUGCUAAUAAUAAAAAAAAAGGGAACGAGAGCACGUGAGCUCUCCCCUGAAACUGGGGGUAGAAGUAGCCAGCUGCACGGCAUUGCUAGAUCGUCGUGUGACUCACGUACUGUACACUCGGAUCUCGAGAAGAUAGGCGCCUGAAGCCUGAUCGGUUCUGCUGAUCCAGACCAAUCCUAAAGUACUCCCUCUGUUCUGAAUUACUCGCUGUAGAAAUGGAUGUAUCUAGAUGUAUUUUAGUUCUAGAUACAUCAAUUUCUAUGAUGAGUAAUUUGGAAUGGAGGGAGUAACAAGUAACAAGGCCUCGAAGCUUGAACGUACACGCAUGCAUUUCACAGUCUAGCAAGCGUGGCAGUGAAGAAGACGACGUAGGGAUAGCUGGGACCUGAGGUGAUCGUUACGAACGAAGCCCUCGUCCUUUCCUCUGUCGCCAUUUCGCGUCGUCUUGCGGGUAGUGAGCUGCGCCCAUGCCUUGCCCUGACCUACGUACGUCCGUGCAGGCAUGCAGCGCACCCGGUGCACAAAGCAGAACAAAAUGUUCUUGCAUGUACGGUGGAGCACCGGAGUUGCGACACCACUGUCCACUGGCUGCGCGCAACGCCUCUUUGCAUCCGGAAAUACGUUAUACUCUAUUUCCGGCCGUGCUGCUCCGGCGACACAAGGACAAGACGGAGCACUCCGGCGAUCGACGUGUGCGCAUCGAUGGAGAGAAAAUAAGUCAUUUUCAAUUUUCCAUCUAGCAACAAGGGUCAUUUUUAUCCCUCGCUAUCCAUCUCUUGCAGCUAUGAAGCCACGCUAUCGUACCCAUCUUGCGCCUGUAGAACCAUAAGGCCACGUCCCCCCGAGACCGGAACCAAAGGAAUCAUACGACAGAGAAAUAUGCUC